rnacentral:rRNA from 1 species
AACCUACGGGGCGCAGCAGUAGGGAAUCUUCCACAAUGGGCGAAAGCCUGAUGGAGCAACGCCGCGUGGGUGAAGAAUGUCUUCGGCUCGUAACACCCUGUUGUUAUAGAAGAAAGUGCGUGCGCGUCCCUGUUCCCGUUUCGACGGUAUCUACCCAGCCAGCCCCGGCUCCCUCCGUGCCCGCCGCCGCGGUCCUACGUCGGUGGCCAGCGUUCUCCGGCUUUCUUGGGCGUACAGAGAACGCAGGCGGUCUUUUAAGUCU